rnacentral:rRNA from 1 species
UACAGAGGUCUCAAGCGUUGUUCGGAUUCAUUGGGCGUAAAGGUGCGUAGGUGGUGAUGCAAGUCUGGUGUGAAAUCUCGGAGCUCAACUCCGAAAUUGCACCGGAUACUGCGUGACUCGAGGACUGUAGAGGAGAUCGGAAUUCACGGUGUAGCAGUGAAAUGCGUAGAUAUCGUGAGGAAGACCAGUUGCGAAGGCGGAUCUCUGGGCAGUUCCUGACACUGAGGCACGAAGGCCAGGGGAGCAAACGGG